AACGAACGCUGGUGGCAGGCCUAACACAUGCAAGUCGAACGUGAAGCCACCUUCGGGUGGUGGAAAGUGGCAGACGGGUGAGUAACGCGUGGGAACGUGCCUUUCGGUUCGGGAUAACCCAGGGAAACUUGGGCUAAUACCGGAUACGCCCUCCGGGGGAAAGAUUCAUUGCCGAAAGAUCGGCCCGCGUCGGAUUAGCUAGUUGGUGGGGUAAAAGCCUACCAAGGCGACGAUCCGUAGCUGGUCUGAGAGGAUGACCAGCCACACUGGGACUGAGACACGGCCCAGACUCCUACGGGAGGCAGCAGUGGGGAAUAUUGGACAAUGGGCGCAAGCCUGAUCCAGCCAUGCCGCGUGGGUGAAGAAGGCCCUAGGGUUGUAAACCCCUUUCAGCGGGGAAGAUAAUGACGGUACCCGCAGAAGAAGCCCCGGCUAACUCCGUGCCAGCCGCCGCCGUAAGAC
rnacentral:rRNA from 1 species